rnacentral:rRNA from 1 species
UUGCCAGACUCCUACGGGAGGCAGCAGUGGGGGAUAUUGCACAAUGGGGGAAACCCUGAUGCAGCGACGCCGCGUGUGGGAAGACGGUCCUCUGGAUUGUAAACCACUGUCCCCAGGGACGAAGAUGACGGUACCUGGGGAGGAAGCUCCGGCUAACUACGUGCCAGCAGCCGCGGUAAUACGUAGGUGGCAAGCGUUGUCCGGAUUUACUGGGUGUAAAGGGCGUGUAGCCGGGCUGACAAGUCAGAUGUGAAAUCCGGGGGCUCAACCCCCGAACUGCAUUUGAAACUGUUGGUCUUGAGUAUCGGAGAGGCAGGCGGAAUUCCUAGUGUAGCGGUGAAAUGCGUAGAUAUUAGGAGGAACACCAGUGGCGAAGGCGGCCUGCUGGACGACAACUGACGGUGAGGCGCGAAAGCGUGGGGAGCAAACAGGAUUAGAUACCCCAGUAA